GGAAAACAUAAAAGCCUCAACAGGAAUGGUACCUGUGCAGGAAAUACUGCCCCAAACCUCAGCGUCGGGGGGGGUCGGAGGUGAGGGCUGGACCGGGGCAGUGCGAGGAGGAGGAGGAGGAAGAAGUUCACCUCAUGACGGAGAACUCACCGAGGACAGUGUGUGCAGAGGACGUGCGCGGUGUGAGCUUGGUUCAGUGCCUGCAAUCAAUACCAGCUUGCUCAGGACAAGAGCCACCACUUUCCAGUCAAGAGCUCCUCCUGCCAGGAUAAAAGCUUCCAGCGUGGGAGCGAGGAAUCAGCUCUCUCCUCUCCUGUGAUGCCCAGGGCUGGUGUUGGGAGCCCACAUCAGCUUUUUUAUGGGGAUGGGGGUGGCCGAGGCUUUGCCUGGGGGGGCAAAUAGGGGCUGACAACACACUGAAGCGCUCACACACCCCCAACUCCGACUAUCACAAAGGGUUAAAUUGCUGUGAUGGAGCUGGGUAAAUCAGGCAGGAAAAUAAUCAGCUCCCAACUGGAGUGGGGAGAUGCUCAGUAUUUUACAGCUUCUUUCAUACACUUUACAGAAACUAAUGCUUACACAAAUAAUACCUAGGGGAUGAUAACGGGCCAUAAAUAAUUCAGGGUUCUCCGGCACGGAGCUGCUGUUCAUGGGUUUGAGGAGCUCAGGGGUGGCUGGGGAGGGGUUGGGGCUGGGUGUCCCCAAAAGAGACACCGGGGAAGGGUCCCCUCUCAGCCCCUCUCCCUACAUUUUCCUAGCCUUUCCGGAUCAGCUCUGCUUUGGAAAAAGCAGUUUCUCUGCUCUUUCUUUUUGCUUUUCACCAGCUCCCCUGGUCGCUGCGGGGGUCACCAGCAAUGUCCUUUCCAUGGGGCUGGGAGAAGCUGGAGGUUUCCCAUCCAUGCUGGGACCCACCACCCCCCUUACAGGUUUGUGCAUGAGCUGCUGUGACCCCAAGGAAUGGAUGUGUCUCCCUCUGAGCUGAGCAUCUCAGGAGAGCAGCCGCCUCCCCUAAGCCACGGGUGACGGCCAGGCACGCAGGGAAAGGGCUCUGCACCACUUUUCACCAGUAUUUGAGGGUUUUUUGGUUGUUUUUUUUUUUGAGAGCCUUUAUGCAGAAUUCCCCAUCUGCGGAUGUCGCGGUUUCAGCCUGACUCUGCCACUAAAUAUUUUGACAGCCUCUUUUCUCACAGCCCGCCGCCUCGUGCUGUAGGGUGACAGUCCCCUCGGCACAACACACACUCCCUGCCACCAGAACGGCUCUGCCGGCCGCCCACCACCCCCCCAGAGGGAAACGGGUCCCCCCCCUCAAACCCUUGGGGUGGGAAAGGGGACAAGGGAUCAAGCUCUACUCCACAGGGGGCUGUUUCAAAGCAGGGACAAGCCUGGCUGCCAAAGAGGGGCUCAGCUCCCCCAAAAAUCCCCAAACGGGGGUGUGUGUGUGUGUGUGUCCCAACUAUUUUAAUAUUUAGGCCACACACUUCUUGCUGCCUUAAUGAGAA